rnacentral:rRNA from 1 species
CCCGGCGACCGGCGCACGGUGAGUAACACGUAUGGAACCUGCCCGCAGCAGGGGGAUAAGCGGAAGAAAUUCCGUCUAAUACCGCGUAACACCGCAGAGGGGCAUCCCUCGGCGGUUAAAGAUUCAUCGGCUGCGGAUGGCCAUGCGGCGCAUUAGCUAGUCGGCGGGGUAACGGCCCACCGAGGCGACGAUGCGUAGGGGUUCUGAGAGGAAGGUCCCCCACACUGGUACUGAGACACGGACCAGACUCCUACGGGAGGCAGCAG